GGCAACUGAGGUAAGAACUCAAGUGAGACCCAUGGAUUAUAUUAGCACGACCAUUUGUACACUCACUGCCAUUGGCUGGACCUGGCUGAGAGCCAAGAAAAGAGCAAGUCUCUAAGUCCUGGAGGUUCCCACUGACACUUUGGUUCUUGCACAUCAGGAGUGGCUUCUCAGCAGCGAGUGCCUUUCCAAUGUUCAGAAACAGUUGUUACUUGCCAAGACAUGUUGCGUAUCUCCACCGCAGACUGCUGCUUAUUCACAUUCAGUUUCCUCUGGACAUCUCUGGCAAACACCAUCUGGCUUCAGCGGGGGGACUGAGUCCUGGUCUUUUGUUGCUCCACGGCCUCCUACUCAGGGGAUUUCACCCCUCCUCAUGGCCCCCAAGGAGAAGGCCCUCCAGGUCUGUGGACCCUAUUUGGCAAAGGUGGCCAGUGUGUGCCCCGAGUCCCGGUGGCAUCAUCCCCUUGGUAAAUCUGGGUCAGGGAAAUGGUGCUUAGCUCUUAACCCAUCAAGGUUUCAUGAUCCUUUUCAUCUGUGCAGUUCCAGCAGGGAGAGGAGCUGUCACCCUAUAUUAGCCUGGUCUCCUCCUCCACGAUGUUGUCAACUCCCUUGCAGAAGCGAUGUUGCAUCCUGCCUGUACGUUUCCUCCAUGCCUAGGACGGUAGUUUGAUUUUAAAGGGCACCAGGCUAUUGUUUGCUGAUGAAUAUUAAGCAAAGGAGGAAAUGAUUUUCCAGCCAUCACGGGAGGAGGUGAGAAGGGGUUGGACUUCACUCCCCUUUAAUCAGAGUCAGUAACUGAGCUAAAGUUCUAGCCUGCAAUGCGCAGUACUCAUGCAAGGUGGGUUGGUGGUGCUAGCGGCAUGACUUCUCCCACUGGAUGUUCUUUGCAAGCCCCCUGUCCUUUCUUUUGAUGCACUUACUGGAGGAGUUUGUACUUACUUAUAACACAUGCCUUUCAUUCUGCCUCUCUCUCCUCCUGGACUAUAAAUUCUAUAGGAAUAGGGACAGGGCCUCCUCACCUGGCCCACAGCAGGCACCCAGUAAAGAAGUGCUGAAUGAAUGAACACGUUCUUCAUGUCAUCUGGUGAGCAUAUUUAAUUAAAAAUAUCAGUGCUUUCUAGGAAGACGAAUGAACUCUGCCACAAUCUUUUUCAUUUGAAAUUCUAGUUCUGAUUCUGACUUUAAACCGGUAGUGUUUAUUGAGUACUUGCUAUGUGUCAGGCAUUGUUCAACACUUUUCACUUUUAUACUUUGAAAAAAAAGUCCUCGUGGCUGGGCUUGGAGUACACAGCAAAGAACAAAACACCCUCACCGCAUCCCUGCUGGAAUGCUCACUUUACAGCUGAGGAAACAAAAGCGCAAAGAGCUCAAGUACUUGCCCGAGGCCCUGCCACUAGUAAGAGGUGGAGACACCUAAGAAUGAAGCAGAUCUGCCCCCUCCUUUGCGUCUAGACCAACAAUGCAAUAACGUGACUCUACCAACUCCCAGCAAGGCCAUGGGUAGAAGUCUUGAAAGGUACCAUGGAGCCCAGAGCUGAGCUGACUCUUCAAAUUCAUCACUCUGAUAUUUCACUUCCUGUAUGAACCACUCAGCAACAUUCCUAAACUCCCCCUUUCUAAAAAAAAAAAAAAA
rnacentral:lncRNA from 1 species